rnacentral:precursor_RNA from 17 species
GGGGUGAAAAACCUUAGAAAUUCUCGCUAUUGAUUGUCCAAACGCAAUUCUUGUGUUUUUCCAAAUCGGACCCCGAGAAUUGUAGAUGGACAUCCUUAGCUGGAUUUUCACAUUCUUCUUUCGCGGU